rnacentral:pre_miRNA from 1 species
GUACUACUCCCUCCGUCUGGAAAAGCUUGUCCCUCAAAUGGAUGUAUCUAACACUAACUUGAUGCUAGAUACAUCCAUUUGAGGGACAAAUUUUUCCGGACGGAGGGAGUAUAUC